GACGAACGCUGGCGGCGUGCUUAACACAUGCAAGUCGAACGGAAAGGCCCUGCUUUUGUGGGGUGCUCGAGUGGCGAACGGGUGAGUAACACGUGAGUAAACUGCCCUUGACUUUGGGAUAACUUCAGGGAACUGGGGCUAAUACCGGAUAGGAGCUCCUGCUGCAUGGGGGGGGUUGGAGAGAUUCGGCGGUUGGGGCUGGUAUCGCUGCUUAUCGGCUUGUUGGUGGGGUAGUGGCUUACGAAGGCUUUGAAGGGUAGCCGGCCUGGGAGGGUGACCGGCCACCUUGCGCCUGCGAUACGGCCCAGAAGCCUACGUGAGGCAGUAGUCGGGAGUCUUGCACAAUGGGCCGACGUCUGAUGCAGCGACGCCGCGUUCGGAAUGCCGGCCUUCGGGGUAUAAACCGCUUUCGCAUGUGACGAGGCGUGAGUGACGGUAAUGGGUCAAGAAGCACCGGCUAACUACGUG
rnacentral:rRNA from 1 species